GAGGAUUUAGCUCAGUGGUAGAGCUCUAGCCUAGCAAGCUCAAUGCCCUGGGUUCAGUCCUCA
rnacentral:tRNA from 1 species